CCUGUUCAUUGUGUGUGGUUUGUUUGCUCGCUUCAUAUCACAGACUUUGGAUGGGAC
rnacentral:pre_miRNA from 1 species